rnacentral:lncRNA from 13 species
GGUAACCAGUAGUUUAAAAAAUGUAUUGUAAAGACAGUGUAUCAACAUGAGAAUAACAGAUUUAUUUAUUUAAUUAGGCAAGUCAGUUAAGAACAAAUUCUUAUUUUCAAUGACGGCCUAGGAACAGUGGGUUAAGUGCCUGUUCAGGGGCAGAAUGACAUAUUUGUACCUUGUCAGCUCAGGGAUUUGAACUUGCAACCUUCCAGUUACUAGUCCAACGCUCUAACCACUAGGCUACCCUGCCACCCCAAUAUACAUAUAUACAGAUAUACAUUAUUUCAACGUGAGAAUAACAGAUAUACGUUGUAUCAACAUGAGAAUAACAGGAAGGCAAUAUGUCUGUCAUAUUUAAUAGGCUCUACCGUGAAGAGUCCAUUUGAGGUGUUGCAGAAGACCGAGGACGGCAAUGUGAUUGGCUCAGGACAGAACCACCUGAUCAGCAGUCGCCAAUGGGAGGACCAGGACGCUGUGUUUAAGUCUGUAUACAGGAAGUACAUGGUUACUAACCCCAGCAACACUACAGACCCAGAGGACAGACCCAGCUGUGUGACCAGCCACUUCCUGCUUUCUGGAGGUCUGUUUCCUGUCCUGGGAGGAGUUAAGCCUCAGACAGGAGGAGUGGCUGUAGCUGUGUGUCUGUGGUGGAGCGGCAGACACAAUCUGCUGCAGUACUUACUGUGUAAAGCUCCCAAAGACAAACCAGGUAGGUUGGGGGUCAUUUAGUCACAUGUACUAUGCGAUAACAGUAGGAUCUGUGAUGUUAAAAAAGAUCCUGAGUUUGUAUUCAAGUGUCUGAUCUAGGAUCAGUUUUAUCAUUGAGAUUAUUACAAAUAUAAUUACAUGGACAGGGGGAAC